AAGUCGUAACAAGGUUUCCGUAGGUGAACCUGCGGAAGGAUCAUUAACAAAUCAUGAUGGUGUCAGUGCCGCAAGGCCUGUCCCAUAUACACCCGAACGCCCGCAAGGGCGUGAGGUCGGCGAAGGGAGCAAUCCCGGAGCCACAUAGACGCUUGUAUGUUUGACAGAGUAUGGUUGACACUUUAAAAUGACAACUUUUAACAAUGGAUCUCUUGGCUCUU
rnacentral:misc_RNA from 1 species